AUGCUUAUGUGUCCCUGUCUCAUUCCCCUUGUAAAGAUUAAUACAUCAGAGCGAGCACUUACGAAAGGAAGAAUAAAAAAACAACAACCGGGUCCAAUUCUCCAGCCAUUCAAUAACCAAAUGUCACCCGCAUGGAAUUCAAAAGGAAAGAGGAGAGAUAAGCAAGAGGGCAACCAAGAGAUCUCAUCAGAGUGAAGCCUCUUGGAGUGUAUGCCAGAGACAAGACAUCUGAAAAGCAGAAGACCUCUUUACUGCCUCCUCGUCACAUGACAGCACCUUGUGCAACAUGGUCCUGAUGCUGCCCUUCACCCCAUCACAGAUGUCUUCCAGGCUGGAAGGGAGGCGUGGGGCCUGAUCUCGCUCUAGCAAUUCCAUCUUCUGUGCCCCGGGAGAGGGGAGGCAAGCACACAGCUGGAAACAAAAGAAUGCCUUACAUAUGCCGCCACGCCCCUGAGACUUCUUGGAGAUGGUGAAGGUCAACCAAGGUCAUUGAUCAAGACAUAUUGUGACUUACCUGCAGUUCUGAUUCAGUUAUCAUUUUUGAUAUACCUAUAAUGUGUUAGUCUCUGAAUCAGGCACUUUAUAUAUGUAUAACCCAAAUAAAUUCUGGAGCCCAUGUUGCUUCA
rnacentral:lncRNA from 1 species